UGGGGAAUAUUGCACAAUGGGCGCAAGCCUGAUGCAGCCAUGCCGCGUGUGUGAAGAAGGCCUUCGGGUUGUAAAGCACUUUCAGCGAGGAGGAAGGUGGUGAGCUUAAUACGUUCAUCAAUUGACGUUACUCGCAGAAGAAGCACCGGCUAACUCCGUGCCAGCAGCCGCGGUAAUACGGAGGGUGCAAGCGUUAAUCGGAAUUACUGGGCGUAAAGCGCACGCAGGCGGUUUGUUAAGUCAGAUGUGAAAUCCCCGGGCUCAACCUGGGAACUGCAUUUGAAACUGGCAAGCUAGAGUCUCGUAGAGGGGGGUAGAAUUCCAGGUGUAGCGGUGAAAUGCGUAGAGAUCUGGAGGAAUACCGGUGGCGAAGGCGGCCCCCUGGACGAAGACUGACGCUCAGGUGCGAAAGCGUGGGGGAGCAAACA
rnacentral:rRNA from 1 species